rnacentral:rRNA from 1 species
CGGGGUGGAGUAAUGUCUGGGAAACUGCCUGAUGAGGGGGAUAACUACUGGAAACGGUAGCUAAUACCGCAUAACGUCGCAAGACCAAAGUGGGGGACCUUCGGGCCUCAUGCCAUAAGAUGUGCCCAGAUGGGAUUAGCUAGUAGGUGGGGUAACGGCUCACCUAGGCGACGAUCCCUAGCUGGUCUGAGAGGAUGACCAGCCACACUGGAACUGAGACACGGUCCAG